rnacentral:rRNA from 1 species
UACGGAGGGGGCUAGCGUUGUUCGGAAUUACUGGGCGUAAAGCGCACGUAGGCGGAUCAGUCAGUCAGGGGUGAAAUCCCCAGGCUUAACCUGGGAACUGCAUUCGAGACUGCAUUGCUAGAGUAUGGGAGAGGGAAGUGGAAUUUCCGGUGUAGCGGUGAAAUGCGUAGAUAUCGGAAGGAACAUCAGUGGCGAAAGCGACUUCCUGGACCAAUACUGACGCUCAUGUGCGAAAGCGUGGGGAGCAAACAGG